GACGAACGCUGGCGGCGCGCCUAACACAUGCAAGUCGAACGGAGUCAAGAGGAGCUUGCUUUUCUUGACUUAGUGGCGAACGGGUGAGUAACGCGUGAGUAACCUGCCCUGGAGUGGGGGACAACAGUUGGAAACGACUGCUAAUACCGCAUAAGCCCACGGAUCUGCAUGGAUCUGCGGGAAAAGGAUUUAUUCGCUCUAGGAUGGACUCGCGUCCAAUUAGCUAGUUGGUGAGGUAACGGCCCACCAAGGCGACGAUUGGUAGCCGAACUGAGAGGUUGAACGGCCACAUUGGGACUGAGACACGGCCCAGACUCCUACGGGAGGCAGCAGUGGGGGAUAUUGCACAAUGGGGGAAACCCUGAUGCAGCGACGCCGCGUGGAGGAAGAAGGUUUUCGGAUUGUAAACUCCUGUCGUUAGGGACGAUAAUGACGGUACCUAACAAGAAAGCACCAGCUAACUACGUG
rnacentral:rRNA from 1 species